AGUGAACGCUGGCGGUAGGCCUAACACAUGCAAGCCGAACGGCAGCACAGUAAGAGCUUGCUCUUACGGGUGGCGAGUGGCGGACGGGUGAGGAAUACAUCGGAAUCUACUUUUUCGUGGGGGAUAACGUAGGGAAACUUACGCUAAUACCGCAUACGACCUACGGGUGAAAGCAGGGGAUCUUCGGACCUUGCGCGAUUGAAUGAGCCGAUGUCGGAUUAGCUAGUUGGCGGGGUAAAGGCCCACCAAGGCGACGAUCCGUAGCUGGUCUGAGAGGAUGAUCAGCCACACUGGAACUGAGACACGGUCCAGACUCCUACGGGAGGCAGCAGUGGGGAAUAUUGGACAAUGGGCGCAAGCCUGAUCCAGCCAUACCGCGUGGGUGAAGAAGGCCUUCGGGUUGUAAAGCCCUUUUGUUGGGAAAGAAAAGCAGCAGGUUAAUAUCCCGCUGUUCUGACGGUACCCAAAGAAUAAGCACCGGCUAACUUCGUG
rnacentral:rRNA from 1 species